UCGGGAACUUUGGGCAAUGGGCGAAAGCCUGACCCAGCAACGCCGCGUGAGGGAUGAAGUAUUUCGGUAUGUAAACCUCGAAAGAAUGGGAAGAAUAAAUGACGGUACCAUUUAUAAGCUCCGGCUAACUACGUGCCAGCAGCCGCGGUAAUACGUAGGGAGCAAGCGUUGUUCGGAUUUACUGGGCGUAAAGGGCGCGUAGGCGGCGCGGUAAGUCACUUGUGAAAUCUCUGAGCUUAACUCAGAACGGCCAAGUGAUACUGCUGUGCUAGAGUGCGGAAGAGGCAACCGGAAUUCUUGGUGUAGCGGUGAAAUGCGUAGAUAUCAAGAGGAACACCUGAGGCGAAGGCGGGUUGCUGGGCCGACACUGACGCUGAUGCGCGAAAGCCAGGGGAGCAA
rnacentral:rRNA from 1 species